rnacentral:rRNA from 1 species
UACGUAGGGUGCGAGCGUUAAUCGGAAUUACUGGGCGUAAAGCGUGCGCAGGCGGUUCGUUGUGUCGGUGGUGAAAUCCCCGGGCUUAACCUGGGAAUGGCCAUGGAAACUGGCGAACUGGAGUGCGGCAGAGGGGGGUGGAAUUCCGCGUGUAGCAGUGAAAUGCGUAGAUAUCAGGAGGAAUACCGAUGGCGAAGGCAGGUCUCUGGGCUGACACUGACGCUCAUGCACGAAAGCGUGGGGAGCAAACAGG